GAGCACCCAGGGAAAGGUCACCAAGAUGGGGGAGACAAUGAUCACUGACCCCAAGGGGUUUCCAGUCUCCUGUGGGUGAGUGGAGAGGCAGGGCAUCCCAAGGCAUUGGCAAAUAGUGGGAGCAGGAGGAGGGACCUGGAUCCAAUAGGUGGUAGAGCAACCACAUCUGGAUUAAAGCCCUGAAUAAUUGACUCAGUCAUUCUAUGGUAUAUUGAGUAGGGACGACUAAGUGCUCUGAUCAGGUCAAGACAUUUUGCCCUUUGUCCCUUUUCUCCCCAACUUGGCCUCUGUCUCCCCCCCCCCCAUUCAAGGGGGUGAAUUGUGAUGACAUAAAAAGCAAUUCCACAGAUGCCGUGGCUCCUACCCAGUGUCCCUGGGCUAUAAAUUGGGGUGCAGGAGCCAGGCAAGGCCCCUGACACAGGCGACAGAUGUUGUAUCCCAACUCGGCAAUGGCCAAGCGCCCGCGUUCUCUACGCAAGCUUCAAAGAAACCUCUUGCGCGCCAAGCCCCCAACUCACAGGCGAAUGUACAAGCCACUGAUGAGCAGAGCCAAGAGAAGGGAGAGGAGAGCUCGGAGGAGGAGGAGGCAGACCCUCUGGCUGAGAAGCUUCUGAUUUUGUCACUGCCAGCCCCCGAAGAAGAACUCAUGGCAGGGGGACUGUGACACCGAACACGCUCCCAACAGGGAAGAACUUGUGCCCUAAACUGGCUGGAACAUCAGCACCAUCUCUAGCCCAGGUGUAGCAUUCCAAUAAAUGGGCUAUGAGAACACUG